rnacentral:rRNA from 1 species
CAAUACAUGCUUUUAAAGUAUGGAAUUUGGUGAUUUACAAUAACUUAGCAAAUCGCAUAGUGAAAACAGGCGAUAAAUCAUUCAAGUUUCUGACCUAUCAGCUUUCGACGGUAUGGUAUUGGCUUACCGUGGCAGUGACGGUUAACGGGGGAUUAGGGUUCGAUUCCGGAGAGGGAGCCUGAGAAACGGCUACCACAUCUAAGGAAGGCAGCAGGCGCGCAAAUUACCCAAUUCUAACAGCAUAAGAGAGGUAGUGACAAGAAAUAACAAUACAAGGCAGUUAAAAUGCUUUGUAAUUGGAAUGAUAGAAAUUUAAACACUUUUUAAAGUAUCAAUUGGAGGGCAAGUCUGGUGCCAGCAGCCGCGGUAAUUCCAGCUCCAAUAGCGUAUAUUAAAAUUGUUGCAGUUAAAAAGCUCGUAGUUGAAUUUCUGCUAAAAAUAACCGGUCUGCUUUUAAUAAAGGUGGUAUCUUGGUGUGUUUUUAGCAAUAAUGUCCUUUGAAAUGUUUUUUACUUCAUUGUAAUAAAUUAUUUUCAGGAUUUUUACUUUGAGAAAAUUAGAGUGUUUCUAGCAGGCUAACGCUUUGAAUA